AUGGAGAGUUUGAUCCUGGCUCAGGACGAACGCUGGCGGCGUGCUUAAUACAUGCAAGUCAACUGAACACAGAGUAGCAAUAUUCUGUGGGAGGUGGCGCACGGGUGCGUAACACGUAGGUAAUCUACCCUUAGGACUGACAUAAUACCGAGAAAUCGGUACUAAUAUCAGAUGAUGCAGCGGCUCCGCAUGGAGACAGUUGUUAAAGCUACGGCGCCUAAGGAUGAGCCUGCGGCCCAUUAGGUAGUUGGCGGGAUAACAGCCCACCAAGCCAACGAUGGGUAGCUGGUCUGAGAGGAUGAUCAGCCACACUGGAACUGAGACACGGUCCAGACUCCUACGGGAGGCAGCAGUAAGGAAUAUUGCUCAAUGGCCGAAAGGCUGAAGCAGCAACGCCGCGUGAAGGAUGAAGGGAUUUUUCUUGUAAACUUCUGUAAAAAAGGAAAAAUAAUUCGAUUUAUCGAAGAUGAUUGUACUUUUGAAGUAAGCACCGGCUAACUACGUGCCAGCAGCCGCGGUAAUACGUAGGGUGCAAGCGUUGUCCGGAUUUACUGGGUGUAAAGGGUGCUCAGGCGGAUUUGUAAGUCAGAGGUGAAAUCUCACAGCUUAACUGUGAAACUGCCUUUGAUACUGCAAGUCUAGAGUUAUGGAGAGGGUGAUGGAAUUCCGCGUGUAGCAGUGAAAUGCGUAGAUAUGCGGAGGAACACCGAUGGCG
rnacentral:rRNA from 1 species